rnacentral:tRNA from 1 species
GGAGAUGUACCCAAGUGGUUGAAGGGGUCGGAUUCGAAAUCCGAAAGGUCGGUCAUGCCGGCGCGGGCGUUCAAAUCGUCUCAUCUCCGCCA